UACAGAGGUCUCAAGCGUUGUUCGGAUUCAUUGGGCGUAAAGGGUGCGUAGGCGGCGGGGUAAGUCAGGUGUGAAAUCUCGAGGCUCAACCUCGAAACUGCACUUGAUACUGCCUUGCUCGAGUACUGGAGAGGAGAUUGGAAUUUACGGUGUAGCAGUGAAAUGCGUAGAUAUCGUAAGGAAGACCAGUGGCGAAGGCGACUCGCUGGACAGUUACUGACGCUGAGGCACGAAGGCCAGGGGAGCAAACGGG
rnacentral:rRNA from 1 species